GAACGCUAGCGACAGGCCUAACACAUGCAAGUCAGGGGCAGCACAAGGAGCAAUCUGAGGUGGCGACCGGCGCACGGGUGAGUAACACGUAUGCAACCUGCCUGUAAGCGGGGAAUAACCCGUUGAAAGACGGACUAAUACCGCAUAAUACUAAAUUACUGCAUGGUAAUUUAUUUAAACAUUUAUGGCUUACAGAUGGGCAUGCGCAUGAUUAGCUAGUUGGAGAGGUAACGGCUCCCCAAGGCAACGAUCAUUAGGGGUUCUGAGAGGAAGGUCCCCCACACUGGUACUGAGACACGGACCAGACUCCUACGGGAGGCAGCAGUGAGGAAUAUUGGUCAAUGGACGAGAGUCUGAACCAGCCAAGUCGCGUGCAAGAAGAAUGUCCCUAUGGAUUGUAAACUGCUUUUGCAGGGGAAUAAAGUGCAUCACGUGUGAUGUUUUGCAUGUACUCUGCGAAUAAGGAUCGGCUAACUCCGUGCCAGCCGCGGC
rnacentral:rRNA from 1 species